GGUGGACAGUGUGGUGCCUAAUGUCCCCACUGCCACUGGCAGGCACUCCGUGGCUCUUGUCUGACUGUGUCCAGUCCAUGCUGUGUGGCCCUUGCUCUGGGGCAAGGAGGCUCCUUCUGUUCUCUCUGGGGUCUGGGAGAAUCCCAGCUGGGGCAGCUCCUAGGUCUCAGAUGAGAUGCAAUCGCAGCCCCUGCUACCCGGGAGCAGCCCAAUGCUUUCCCCUCAGGACCCUGCGAGAGGAGGACACCUGAGUGUAGAGGCGGCCUCUGUCCCUGGCUCACCCAGGCAAGCAUGAAGAGUCAGAAUCCAGGUAGGUGUCCGGCUGGCAGAGAGGGGAGGGCGGAGGUGGGAGAGAAGCCACCACAGGGAGUUUAUGGACUAGGACAUGGGUCAUCGAGGGCUCAGGGCCGAGGCCUGAGCUCUGUUUAAAGCUGCAGGAAAAUGGUGCGAGGAGCCCAAGAUGCCCCACAUUCUUGUCUCUGGCCACUGUCUUGGCCAAGUGGGUGCUGUGCAGACCUGGAAACUGUCAGGGAGACCGAGCCCUGCUUCUGGUGUGAGGAAGUUAAACUCCUAUUCAAGCAGCGCCCAGGCAGCAUUGCAAUAGAUGACAGCAUGCCUUGCCCUGCCCAGGGCCUCCUGGAUGUGGUUCUCUGGGCAGGGCAAGGAAUCUGCAUUGAGUGUCCCUGUGAUUCCUUUAGCCACCACCACACGGGGACCACUGCUCUGUCUGACGAAUGACUGCCCCUCCCUCCCUUGCCCCUCAGUCGUUCCCCAGAGGGUGACCCAGGGCCCCGUCUUCUUCCGGAGCACCUGCUCGGUCAUGGCUUGGAUGCAGAUGUCCUCCCGAAGCCUCACGUGCUCAUAGGUGGGGCUUUUGUGAGGUGGCUGGAUCAUGGGCAUGUGAUGCUGGAUCAGGGUGUGCAUGACUAAAUUGUUUUGGCAUAGUUCUGAGUGUGAGCAAUGGAAGCCCCACCCUGUGUGUGGGUGGCACCAACAAAUAGGCUUGUCGCCUGGAGAGACGAAAGGACAGAAAGAAGGCAGGCUGCUGCGCUUCUUGCUGUUGCACUGCCACAGACUGUUUCUCCUCUGCCGUGCCCUCUGCUAUGUCACCCUACCUUGGAGCCAGCUGACUGUGGACUGAAACCUCCACACACUCUUCAACACAGGGCCUAAGCCCAAAUUUCUGGGCACCGCUGGAUGUCUCUGAGUGGAUUCUCCUUGGCAGACUCAACUCAACACGUCCUGCCCUGAAUUCACAGCAGUUCCCACACAGCUCUGCUGUCCUCUCCCUCCAUUCCUCCUCACCACCCUUCCAUCCCCACCUCUACUCUGCUACAACCGGUCACGAAAGUCCUCACUCACAAUGCUCCCAUGGCUCCCACUGUCCUUUGAAUGAAGUCCAAACUCCUCGGAGGCCCAACAGGGACUCUGCCCAUGUGUUCCACCUCCCCCUGCCCACCCCUCAACACAGGCUUUAAGCACAAGGAGCUGUCCAUAAUUCCCCAAGCACGUCUUAAAGUGUUCUAUGUCUUUCUCAUACUGAUACGAUCCCUACAGAACUAAAGUUCUCUCUUGAGGAUAAAAAAUCUCAAUGUAAAGCCCAUUGCAACACUUGCUUGUGGUACCAUCUACAAUGACAGCUAUAAUUCACUCUGCCCCUUUCCAUCCCAGCCCCCUAACCAGGGACAGUGAAGGGAGGGAGGGGUGCAGGCUUCUGGCUGUAGAUGACGGAAAGGAGAGAUGCUUGCAGCCUCCUGUGGCCUCACUUGCUGCCGGCACCUUUGUUGAGCCUCCUCGAAGAGAGACAUUUGCCCAUGCAUGAGUCCUUGCAGGUCCUGGGCACGUGACGAACACAAAGAUGAAGGUAUAGGCCCGCUCUCCUUGGCCAUGCCUAGGAGACAGUAGCAGCUGUACUCACAGGAAACAGCGAGGACUUCUGGGCUGGAGCCAGGCGAGUAGGACAAGGCAUUACCGCUCCCUGCAUGUGAACACAGACUGGGUGGACAGGGUCUUGGUUUUGUGCAGCUCUGUGUCUCAGCAUCCAGAGUGGUGUCCGACGUGGCAGGACUCGCUGCACGAUGCUGAAUGAAGACGGAGUGAAUUGCAAACACUGCAUGCAAGGAAGGGUGGGCUGGGUUUCUCUCUGUGAGCUUCCUGAGGGUGGGGCUGCUGUCUGCUCCCACGUUUACAGCCUGGCAUCGAGUUCAGCGUCUCUCGGGCACUCAGUCGGUGCUGGUGAUGCUGAGAGAUGUCCCAGCUGUGUUCUCCUCUUACCCUCCCCCGUGUCUGUAGUUAUUGGCCUUCCUAAAGAAAAUGUUCGUGCCAAGCUGACAGUGGUUUUAAAGAAAAACAUCUUUAAGCAACCCAGAAAAAAAGUCCUGGGGAUGGAAAACAAGUCAAAAGAAAAAGGCCAAGAAACAACAUUUUAAUGUCAUUAACUGAGGACCGGUUACCUUGACCAGUUUUUGAAUGAAAUGGAAAAGUGGACCAUGAUAUGUUGGACAGUUACACCAGGCUUGGAAGCGGCAGCUCUCUGCGUGUCAGAAUCACCUGCGGCCCGGCUGUCUGAGCCACUCCCCUGCUCCACACCCGGAAAACCUCCAGGAAGAGCGUCACAAGCAAGCGACCACUGUCCUUGCCCUGUUCAGCUUCCCAAGCAAGUAGGUGACCCAGACAGGAAGUGAGCAGAGAGGAAGCAGAAGGUGCGGCUGCAGGUGCAUUUCUAGCCCUCGGUGGGGUGCAGCUGCUCCUGCCAGUCCACACUCAAGGUGGCAUGUGUGCCCCACGCUUGAGUGUAUCUCACUCAAUUGCUGCCCUGGCUCAGGAACCACAUGCUUCCUUCUGCCUGGGUCCUGAAUGACUGCUGUCCCCAACUCCACUUAUCCCCAAGGUCACCACCCAGUGUCACUGGCACCCUGCACUGCCCCAUGAGAGUCGGAGAGACUUCUUCUCUGUGUGCCCUAACGACAGCAGGCACAGCUAGCCACUGCCGCAUAUGGGGAGCGUUAGGGGCCUUCCUGGGGAGAUGGGGCACCAGGCUAUGGCCCGUGAGGAAGGCGAGCCUUGCAGGGACACCGAGGUUGGUCCUCACCAAAGCAGUUAGGCUGGGGGGCACUUGCUGCCCCACCCCAGGCAAACUCUGCUCUGUUGGGCUCUUCUGGGGAAGCCCUGUUACCUCUACUUUCAGCCCCAUGCUGUUGGCACCUGGCACCCUCCAGGUCACCCUUGGUUCAAGAAGGUUCUCCCUUUUCCUCUUCUAUGUGUAUCUCUUUUUCUCUCCCAUCUUUUCUUGCAUAUUCCAACCGAAUAUUUAGUUUCCAGAGCAUCCCCAAAUACUAAAAUGAAAACCAUAGAAAUGAUGCUAUUCUGUGACUGCCCAGGUGUGUGCAUGCAUGCACGCCUGUCAUCUCAGCACCCAGGGAGGCUGAGGCAGGAGGAUCGCAAAUGGAAGCCCAGCCUGGGCAACUUAGCGAGACCCUGUCUCAAGAUAAAACUGAAAAGGACUGAGAAUGUAACUCAACACAAAGGCCCUGGGCUCCUCCCAGUGCCAGGGGAGGGCCCCGUGAGCAGAGAUGUAGAUGAUGCUCUCCAGUGUCCACACGGAAGCGUGUUCUUCCUUAUGGCUUCUGCUCUCAGGGCCCGGGCUCUGACCACCGACCUUCUGGGCCCGACCCCUGCACUACCUUUUGUCUGGCACAGGGUCCCAGGCAGGCUGUUUACCCUCCUCUGCUUUGGGCGUGUUUCAUGGCCGUGGUGAGACACAGACAGCAAAGGCCUCGUGACCAUGGACUCCACGUGCCGGUGGACUCCCAGGCCCGGGAGCAGUGCGUGGGCAGGACCACAGGGUGCAGUGGGCUGGGUGCGGGUUAUGGGAACGUGGAGAGGGCGGCAGCUGUGGCUGCUCUGCCCCAGUGAGCAGUGUCCCCAGCCUGGCACAGGGCUGUCCCUCGUCCUUCACACGGGCAGUAGCAGUGGUGGCCCUGAGCGUGGUGCCCCUAGGGAGGCUGGCUGUGGCUCUGGGUACCGCCUGUAGGAAGUAGCUCCCGGGGUGGUGAGGCCCCGGUCAGAGCUCAGGGACGCAGGAAACAAGGAGAACCAGGACGGCUCCCUGCUCCAGGCAUUGGGAGGCUCGGCUCCCACCUUCCCGGCUGCUCCUGCCUGCAGGCCCAGCCCCCGGCCCAUGGCCUGGGAAGGCCUUCCUCGCCUUCACCGCCUCCUGUCCUUGGAAGUUGUGCCUGGCGUGGCCCCCAGCCUCGCUCUGGGUCUGUCUCGGGCCUUUGCUGGGGACCUGCUGGCCCUCAGCCUUCACUGCUCACAUCCCCACGACGUGUGCGGUCACCCAGGCCCCUCCAGGGUCCCCCCUUUGCUCCCCAGUCUCACUUUCGCCUGUGACAAAGACGAAGGCUAAGUUUACAACUCUGAAUAGACAAUGAAGUCGCUGGAGACAGACGGUGGCCUCUGAGCCAGCACAGUGACAAACAGGCCAGCGGGGCCCGAGGAGCUCAUUACAACCAUCCCCACCCCGCCCUCCAGGCCUGUCCACGGGCCGAGGUGGCUCCGCACGGCCUGGGCUCACAGAGCGCCCUGUGCUCCACUGCGCAGAGGAGGAGGGACCCCUGCCCAGUCUCCGGCUCUCAGUGUCAGAUCGGGGUCCCUCCCAGUCCCCACACCUGGUUCCCUCUGCCAUGCUGUGAUGCCACCAGAGCCCCGUCUGGACUCGGCCCCUCUGCCCGGACUCACCAGACUCCAGGCAAAUUGCUUGUAGAACCUGUCUGUCCACAGCAGUCUCGCCCAGCGGGAAUGGAAGAGCCAGCCUGGGGGACCAGAGCCUAAGCUGGGGGGGAGUCUACUGCUGCGUUCCCAGCAUCGAGAUCCGUGCCCGGUUCAUAGCAGGAGCUCAGUUAAUAAACAUGGAAUAAAUACUACCGGCCACCCAAGGAGAGGUCCUCGACUGCACUAUAGUCCAGUGUGAGGGGGAGGCUGGGAGAUGCAUGCAGGCCACGCGUCCUGCAGAACCCAAGGCCCAGAGCAGUCACAGGACACUCGGGAUGGUGCUGGAGACAUCAUCAUCCAGCGUCCAGGGCAGACGACCCACGCCCUGGUCCUCCCCGUCCUCACCUGAAGAUGAGCAUGACCCCCUCUCCACUUCUGCUGUGAGAUGCUGCAUUAACAGAAGGAAGUUACCUGAGACAGUGCAUGCCCGAGCCCCCUGGCCAGGCCCCUUUCUGGAUCAGACUCGAAGACCAGCUCCAUUCAGCAAAAGGCCAGCGGGCUGGCAGGGAGUCUGGGAGCCAACACAGAGGGGAGCAGCUGUGCACGACCCACAGAAGAGAGGGUUCUGGGGACACUGAACCGGCCCACAUGGAGCCGAGCCACCUGGCUUUGUGGGAGGCCCAGGACAGAAUGCAGCUGGACGGGUUUGGGGGGUGGAUGGGGUCAGCAAAGGGAAGGCUAAGAGCCUCCUGGCAAACACAAGGGACUUUUCCAGGAUGACCGGAUAGGUUGGGUGACAGCUUCUGAGAAGUCGGACAGGUUGGUGCUGGAGGGACACGGGUGGCCCUUUUGGCCCCAACAUUCUUGGUAUAAGUGGGUUGCACUUCCGCUGAAGAUAAAUUCCAGUGACACUUACGAUAUACACCUCUUCUGGUUGUAAAAGCA